AGCAGCCGCGGUAAUUCCAGCUCCAAUAGCGUAUAUUAAAGUUGUUGCAGUUAAAAAGCUCGUAGUUGAAUUUCGGGACCAAUUUGUUGGUCGUGCCUCGGUACGUACUGGUAUUAUUGGUUUCUCCCUUCUGAAGAACCAUGAUGCCAUUAAUUUGGUGUCGUGGGGAAUCAGGACUGUUACUUUGAAAAAAAUUAGAGUGUUUAAAGCAGGCAUACGCUUGAAUACAUUAGCAUGGAAUAAUGAAAUAGGACGUUUGAUUCUAUUUUGUUGGUUUCUAGGAUCGACGUAAUGAUUAAUAGGGAUAGUUGGGGGCAUUAGUAUUCAAUUGUCAGAGGUGAAAUUCUUGGAUUUAUUGAAGACUAACUACUGCGAAAGCAUUUGCCAAGGAUGUUUUCAUUAAUCAAGAACGAAAGUUAGGGGAUCGAAGACGAUCAGAUACCGUCGUAGUCUUAACCAUAAACUAUGCCGACUAGGGAUCGGAUGAUGUUAAUUUUUUAAUGACUCAUUCGGCGCCUUA
rnacentral:misc_RNA from 2 species